rnacentral:rRNA from 1 species
UACGUAGGGGGGCGAGCGUUGUCCGGAGUUACUGGGCGUAAAGGGCAUGCAGGCGGUCCGACACGUUUUUGUGUGACAGCGGGGUGGCUUAACUACCCGAGGAUACGAAAGACGGUUGGACUUGAGGACUCGAGAGGGACACGGAAUUCCUGGUGUAGCGGUGAAAUGCGCAGAUAUCAGGAGGAACACCAAUGGCGAAGGCAGCUCGCUGGGGACGUGACUGACGCUGAGACGCGAAAGCGUGGGGAGCAAACAGG